rnacentral:rRNA from 1 species
AGUGAACGCUGGCGGUAGGCCUAACACAUGCCAGUCGAACGGCAGCACAGUAAGAGCUUGCUCUUACGGGUGGCGAGUGGCGGACGGGUGAGGAAUACAUCGGAAUCUACUUUUUCGUGGGGGAUAACGUAGGGAAACUUACGCUAAUACCGCAUACGACCUACGGGUGAAAGCAGGGGAUCUUCGGACCUUGCGCGAUUGAAUGAGCCGAGGUCGGAGUAGCUAGUUGGCGGGGUAAAGGCCCACCAAGGCGACGAUCCGUAGCUGGUCUGAGAGGAUGAUCAGCCACACUGGAACUGAGACACGGUCCAGACUCCUACGGGAGGCAGCAGUGGGGAAUAUUGGACAAUGGGCGCAAGCCUGAUCCAGCCAUACCGCGUGGGUGAAGAAGGCCUUCGGGUUGUAAAGCCCUUUUGUUGGGAAAGAAAAGCAGCAGGUUAAUACCCCGCUGUUCUGACGGUACCCAAAGAAUAAGCACCGGCUAACUUCGUG